rnacentral:rRNA from 1 species
AUUGAACGCUGGCGGCAGGCCUAACACAUGCAAGUCGAGCGGAUGAAGGGAGCUUGCUCCUGGAUUCAGCGGCGGACGGGUGAGUAAUGCCUAGGAAUCUGCCUGGUAGUGGGGGAUAACGUCCGGAAACGGGCGCUAAUACUGCAUACGUCCUGAGGGAGAAAGUGGGGGAUCUUCGGACCUCACGCUAUCAGAUGAGCCUAGGUCGGAUUAGCUAGUUGGUGGGGUAAAGGCCUACCAAGGCGACGAUCCGUAACUGGUCUGAGAGGAUGAUCAGUCACACUGGACCUGAGACACGGUCCAGACUCCUACGGGAGGCAGCGGUGGGGAAUAUUGGACAUUGGGCGAAAGCCUGAUCCAGCCAUGCCGCGGGGGUGAAGAAGGUCUUCGGAUUGUAAGCACUUUAAGUUGGGAGGAAGGGCAGUAAGUUAAUACCUUGCUGUUUUGACGUUACCAACAGAAUAAGCACCGGCUAACUUCGUG